rnacentral:rRNA from 1 species
UACGGGGGGAGCAAGCGUUGUUCGGAUUUACUGGGCGUAAAGGGCGCGUAGGCGGUCAGCACAAGUCAGUUGUGAAAUCUCCGGGCUUAACCCGGAAAGGUCAACUGAUACUGUGCGACUAGAGUGCGGAAGGGGCAACUGGAAUUCUCGGUGUAGCGGUGAAAUGCGUAGAGAUCCGGAGGAACCCCAGAGGCGAAGGCGGCGCCCUGGCUCGCAACUGACGCUCAGACACGACAGCAUGGGGAGCGAACGGG